rnacentral:lncRNA from 1 species
UGUUAAGAUCAUGCUAAAUAAACUUGACUUUUAUGGAUCACAAAAACAUUCUUAAUUUGUCAUUUAUAGCUUAUAGUCUUUUUCAAAUAACAAAUCAUGUAUGUCUAAUGCUAAGGCACUUUUUUUUCUGUUAGGCUGUGACAAAGUCAGACAAGUAGAUAGGUUCCAUUUAACCCAGUACAAGAACUGUUGCCCACAGAACAUUUGGACUAGUAUCUCAUUGGCAGCUUCUGUUCAGAGUUACCAAUGAAAACAUGAAAGAGGAAUUUAAACAGUUAACUGCCAUAAAGAAAAAAUGCAUAUCAAACAGUACUUAAUGAGAUUUAAAAAAAUAUGUUGAUGGAUUGGUAUAGAGAAAUUGUACAGAAUAUUAUAAAUUCCUAUGAUAUAACUCAA